CGCCGCCUGGUACUGCUGGCACGCCUCCGUCGACACCGUGAACCCCGGCGGCACCGACAGCCCGAUGCUCGCCAUCUCCGCCAAGUUCGCCCCCUUCCCUCCCAGCUGUCCUUCAUGGCCUUGUUGCCCUCGCUCUUGCCCUUGCCGAAGUGGAACACCCUCUGCACACGAGCACAUUGAGCCGGAGCCAUUAGUGACCGGUGCAAGUGCAGUGAGGCACUGAGGCUUUGUGCAAAGCGAAGCUGGUGAAGUGUGGUGCUCAUGGCGGAGAGGCCAAGCCCCCCUAUUUAUAGCACGGUGUGUGACGGUGUGACCCACCGGGAGACGUCAUCGCACGGGCGGCUCAUGCGGGGGGAGGAGGACCAGCCCGGCAAAAAAUUGGUUGGGUAGGUGGAUUUUUGUGUUAAAAAAAGGUCUAAUAAUGUAAUGUAAAAGUAGUAUAAAAAGUCUAAUACUGCAAUGUAAAGUACAGCAUGGAUAGCUUCUUCUGUGGAUGUGAACAAGAAAUUUGUUAGACGUGUGGUGAUUAAAAUGGGAGCUUUUUUGA